GUGAGAGGGGCGGCAGGCUCCACCAGCCCAGUGACCCUGGGCGAGGAAAGGAGGCAUCAUGACAGGGGGAGGCGGUGAUGCAGUCCUUUAACCCUAACCAUUGGGAGGUGGGGGAAUCUCUUGAGUCCAGAACUCCAGGAGAGGCUGGCAGGCUCAACACCCCUGGCUGGGUCCUCCUCACAGGCAGGACCACGGAAGAGACCUCAGCCCUAGAGCGGUCACGAGAAUCAGUCUGGAAAUAGGUCAUCUUCCACAUGGACUUAAAACUAUGGCAGAGACACUGUCCCCAAAGCAACCCCAGUCCUCAAAGUCUAUGCAAGACACAAGGAGGCAGCUGCAAGAUACAGGCAGAGUGACCCUGCAGACAGCCACAACUAUGCAAAGUAUGUCUCCAAUGACAAAGAGGCUACUGCAGUCACCUCUAUGGGAGUUAAGGAAGUCAUAUCUAUCACCAGCCCUUCAGAAGAAGGCGGCCGGCUCACCAUACUCACUUCUGGCCAUAAAACAGCUCCCUUAAUUCUGUCCCAUGUUAAAGUUCCAUCACACCAAUGACAAUAUCAAGUAACAUUACACAACACAGAAAACAACAUGGAGUCCACAGAGAAGAAGCAAACACAACCCCAGCCUACCCCACCCCUACUCCAUCAAUCAGCUCUGGGGAUAGAGAGAGCUGCCACAGGAAGACAACUGCAGAAGGUGAGCCAGAGCUCACCACAGCCUCUCCUUGCCCUUCCAGCCUCCAGGAUGAUAACAGACAGGUUUCUGUGGAGUGUAAGCUGCCAGGAUUAAUGCAGACA
rnacentral:lncRNA from 1 species